rnacentral:rRNA from 1 species
UACGAACUGUGCGAACGUUAUUCGGAAUCACUGGGCUUAAAGGGUGCGUAGGUGGCUCGUCAAGUCAGGUGUGAAAUCCCCCGGCUCAACCGGGGAACAGCGCUUGAAACUAGCGGGCUGGAGCGAGGUAGGGGUCUGUGGAACUUCCGGUGGAGCGGUGAAAUGUGUAGAUAUCGGAAGGAACGCCGGUGGCGAAAGCGGCAGACUGGGCCUUGUCUGACACUGAGGCACGAAAGCUAGGGGAGUGAACGGG